GACCCGACUGCUAUUUGGGUGAGGAUAAGCCAUGCGAGUCGAAUGGAAUACCUAAUAUUUCCAUGGCAAACUGCUCAGUAANCACAUGAUCAACUUACCCUAUAGAGAGAAAUAACCUCGGGAAACUGAGGAUAAUGACUCAUAAUUGAAAAGGCUUGGAAAAGUUUUUCAAUUAAAGGAUAUGAAAAAUGGUUCUUAUCUGCUAUAGGAUAGGAUCGUGCUCGAUUAUGGUGUUGGNGNAGGUAACGGCUCACCAAGCCGAUAAUCGAUAGGGGCCGUGAGAGCGGGAGCCCCGAGAUGGGUACUGAGACAACGACCCAGGCCUUACGAGGCGCAGCAGGCGCGAAACCUCCGCAAUACGCGAAAGUGUGACGGGGUUACCCAAAGUGUUCAAUUCUGAACUGUGGUAGGUGAGUAAUGUCCCCUACUAGAAAGGAGAGGGCAAGGCUGGUGCCAGCCGCCGCGGUAAAACCAGCUCUUCAAGUGGUCGGGAUAUUUAUUGGGCUUAAAGUGUCCGUAGCCGGUUUAGCAAGUUCCUGGUAAAAUCGGGUAGCUUAACUAUCUGCAUGCUAGGAAUACUGCUAUACUAGAGGGCGGGAGAGGUCUGAGGUACUACAGGGGUAGGGGUGAAAUCUUAUAAUCCUUGUAGGACCACCAGUGGCGAAGGCGUCAGACUGGAACGCGCCUGACGGUGAGGGACGAAAGCCAGGGGAGCGAACCGGAUUAGAUACCCGGGUAGUCCUGGCCGUAAACGAUGCAUACUAGGUGAUGGCAUGGCCAUGAGCCGUGUCAGUGCCGUAGGGAAACCGUUAAGUGUGCCGCCUGGGAAGUACGGUCGCAAGGCUAAAACUUAA
rnacentral:rRNA from 1 species